rnacentral:rRNA from 1 species
UACGUAGGGAGCGAGCGUUGUCCGGAAUUACUGGGUGUAAAGGGAGCGUAGGCGGGACUGCAAGUCAGAUGUGAAAUACGUGGGCUUAACCUACGGGCUGCAUUUGAAACUGUAGUUCUUGAGUGAAGUAGAGGCAGGCGGAAUUCCUGGUGUAGCGGUGAAAUGCGUAGAUAUCAGGAGGAACACCGGUGGCGAAGGCGGCCUGCUGGGCUUUUACUGACGCUGAGGCUCGAAAGCGUGGGGAGCAGACAGG